AUCUAUGGCCACGCUACCCUGAACAAGCCCGAUCCCAUCUGAUCUCAGAAGCUAAGUGGGAUUGGGCCUAGUUAGUAUUUGGAUGGGAGACCACGUAGGCAGACCAGGUGCUGUAGGCA
rnacentral:rRNA from 1 species